UAGGCAACCAAUUUCCUAGGAGCCUUUCCUGAGCAGGGCCUUCUUCUCUUCUCAAAUGAAAGGCACAUGAAGGUGGUAUCCUCCGACAUCAACUUUACAUGUGGUUCCUUUGGACAAAAUAUGGUGAGGAAGACUCAGGUAUUCACUAAGUUCAUGCAGUUCAGAAGUGUCAUCGUUGGGAAUCUAAAUUCAGG